AUUGAACGCUGGCGGCAGGCCUAACACAUGCAAGUCGGGCGGCGCGGCGGACGGGUGAGUAAUGCCUAGGAAUCUGCCUGGUAGUGAGGGAUAGCGUCCGGAAACGGGAGCUGAUACCGACAACUAUCGGAUUAGCCUAGGUCGGAGUAGCUAGUGGGUGGGGUAAAGGCCUACCAAGGCGACGAUCCGUAACUGGUCUGAGAGGAUGAUCAGUCACACUGGAACUGAGACACGGUCCAGACUCCUACGGGAGGCAGCAGUGGGGAAUAUUGGACAAUGGGCGCAAGCCUGAUCCAGCCAUGCCGCGUGUGUGAAGAAGGUCUUCGGAUUGUAAAGCACUUUAAGUUGGGAGGCGUUACCAACAGAAUAAGCACCGGCUAACUUCGUGCCAGCCGCCGCGGUAAUUC
rnacentral:rRNA from 1 species